UGGUAUAGUCGAUCUUUGCAGGCCUGGUCCCAGGACUGGCUGAAGCUGAACAGCUUUCUCAUCUGUCCCGGCCUGGUGGCCUCAGCCCGCACCUGCUCAUACUGCUCCUCGCUCAGCACCUGUCCAUGCAGCUUGUCCAAGACAGGGUCCACCGAUGUCACUCGUGCCACCAGCUGCUCUCGAUACUGGUCCACGAAGUGCAGCAAGGCCGGGGUGUCCAUGGAUGAAGCCUCUGAUCAGUACACCAGGUAAAGAUGUUAAAGCCACAGGAGACAGUUUGCGUGAUGAAGGCUGGUGGUGGAAGAGAUGUUGGCCUGCAGAUGAGGAGUCCUGGCUCCAUGACCACAUUGCCUGGCAACUGCUGUGAUGCAGGUGGUUUCUGGGCAACAGGACAUCCAGAAAGCUGAACAAGGACCUUAGUGGCUGGAGUACCAGUCAGAAUAUCACCGAAUGAUGAUUGGAGAGAGAAGAGAAGCAACAAGAAAGAUCAUGGCCUGAAGGAGAAGAAGCUUGAGUGCUGACUGGGACAAAUCUCAUUGGCAGGGAGACCUUCUACCCGGAGCUGACUUUAGCUGGUCUCAUUAGAAAUAUUCAGAACAAGCCAUCAUGGGGAUUAUGAACGUGACUGCCAUGUCCAUCCCUAAGAUCUUCUGAAGACGCAUUUUGCAGAAUCUGCAUUUUGAGAUGCUCUAUUGUUGCAUGAGUCAGAAGGGGCUGGUUCCAGAGAACCUACAGGUUUGAGGCACGUGGGAUAUCAUUGUGGUUCCCAGCA